GAUGAACGCUGGCGGCGUGCCUAAUACAUGCAAGUCGAGCGAACAGACGAGGAGCUUGCUCCUCUGACGUUAGCGGCGGACGGGUGAGUAACACGUGGAUAACCUACCUAUAAGACUGGGAUAACUUCGGGAAACCGGAGCUAAUACCGGAUAAUAUAUUGAACCGCAUGGUUCAAUAGUGAAAGACGGUUUUGCUGUCACUUAUAGAUGGAUCCGCGCCGCAUUAGCUAGUUGGUAAGGUAACGGCUUACCAAGGCAACGAUGCGUAGCCGACCUGAGAGGGUGAGAGCCCACACGAGCACGGAGACCCGCUCCAGCCCCCUGAGGGAGGCAGAAGGAGGGAUUCUUAGGAAAGGGGGGAAGGCCGGACAGCGAAGCGCCGCGGGAGGGAUAAAGGCCUCAGGCCAGAAAAACUUUUUUAUUAGGAAAAAAAAAAGGUGUAAGAACCAAGGCCCGUUUGGAGGUUACCUAACAAGAAAGCCACGGCUAACUAGGUG
rnacentral:rRNA from 1 species